UACGAAGGGGGCUAGCGUUGUUCGGAAUUACUGGGCGUAAAGCGCGCGCAGGCGGUCUUCCAAGUCAGUGGUGAAAGCCCGGAGCUCAACUCCGGAACUGCCAUUGAAACUGUAAGACUUGAGGAUGAGAGAGGUGAGUGGAAUUCCCAGUGUAGAGGUGAAAUUCGUAGAUAUGGGGAGGAACACCGGUGGCGAAGGCGACCAUCUGGACGGAUACUGACGCUGAGACGCGAAAGCGUGGGUAGCAAACAGG
rnacentral:rRNA from 1 species